GUUUGUAGCUCAGAGGUAGAGCACUUGCCUAGCACAUGUGAGGCACUGGGUUUGAUCCUCAGCAGCACA
rnacentral:tRNA from 1 species